rnacentral:sRNA from 1 species
CGUGUCGAACGCAGUGAGACAACGGAGCCGCUUGCGGCGACGGCCCGAAGGGCGAGCGAAGCGAGUCAUCCUGCACGACCCACCA